rnacentral:rRNA from 1 species
UACGUAGGGUGCAAGCGUUAAUCGGAAUUACUGGGCGUAAAGCGCGCGCAGGCGGUUAUGUAAGACAGGUGGGAAAUCCCCGGGCUUAACCUGGGAACUGCAUUUGUGACUGCAUAGCUAGAGUACGGUAGAGGGGGAUGGAAUUCCGCGUGUAGCAGUGAAAUGCGUAGAGAUGUGGAGGAAUACCGAUGGCGAAGGCAGCCCCCUGGGAUAACACUGACGCUCAUGCACGAAAGCGUGGGGAGCAAACAGG